rnacentral:rRNA from 1 species
UGAAAUUACGCCUGCAUGAAGCCGGAAUUGCUAGUAAUGGCAGGUCAGCAUACUGCCGUGAAUACGUUCCCGGGCCUUGUACACACCGCCCGUCACACCAUGAGAGUUGGGGAUACCCGAAGCCUGUGAGCCAACAGUUAAAUGAGGCAGCAGUCGAAGGUAGAAUCAAUGAUUGGGGUGAAGUCGUAACAAGGUAAC